CCUACGGGGGGCAGCAGUGAGGAAUAUUGGUCAAUGGCCGGGAGGCUGAACCAGCCAAGCCGCGUGAGGGAUGAAGGUACAGAGUAUUGUAAACUUCUUUUGUCAGGGAACAAAGGCGGGGACGUGUCCCCGGAGGAGGGUACUUGAAGAAAAAGCAUCGGCUAACUCCGUGCCAGCAGCCGCGGUAAUACGGAGGAUGCGAGCGUUAUCCGGAUUUAUGGGGUUUAAAGGGUGCGCAGGCGGGCUGUUAAGUCAGCGGUAAAAGCCCGGGGCUCAACCCCGGCCCGCCGUUGAAACUGGCUGUCUUGAGUUGGGGAGAGGUAUGCGGAAUGCGCAGUGUAGCGGUGAAAUGCUUAGAUAUCGCGCAGAACUCCGAUUGCGAAGGCAGCAUGCCGGCUCCGCACUGACGCUGAGGCACGAAAGCGUGGGUAUCGAACAGGAUUAGAUACCCCGGUAGUC
rnacentral:rRNA from 1 species